CAACAGCCCCAAAAAAAGCAAACAGAGGUGGAAAGAGUACAGAAAUAUUCGACUUAAGUAAAAGUACUAUUACUUU